GUAGAAUGAGAAAAAUCGAAAUUACUAUUGCUGUUCUGGUUUUACCCGAAAUUGAGAAGUGCGUCUGUAAUGGGUUAUUUUGGUUGAGAAUUCUUCCGAAAUGGUUGUUGAGGUCUUCUGAUGAAAUGUAGCCCUGUUUCUUAGCUUUCAGAUGGUUUUGGAAUUUCUGGAUUUGGACUUGGAUAACCUGUUUUAUGAUGUUUCCGCUAGAAUGCGUUAUGUGAAUCUAUUUUUAUGAUUCUGGUAUAGUAUCUUGCAUUUUUGACCUGGUUACACUCAAAACUGGGUUGAGUGACCUUCUGGAAUAUUGUAGCCCUGUCUCUUAGCUUCGAAACGGUGGAUCUUGUACCUUCAUCCGACAAUCGUAGCGCCUUUGGUGCCAUUACCGCAAAAUGACGUCAAAAACUAUUUUUCUGGUUUUGAGCUUAACUUUCAUUUCCGGACUUUUCCCUAGCUUGACUUGUACUAGUACUACUUGGAGCUUGCUGAAUGGCUAUUGGAUG
rnacentral:lncRNA from 1 species